rnacentral:rRNA from 6 species
CCUGGUAGUUAGAGCAAGGGGGUUCUACCUCUUUCCAUUCCGAACAGAGUCGUAAAAACCUUUAGCAGGAAAGAUACUUGGUUCACAAGGACCUGGGAAAAUACCUCGCUGCCAGGA